CCGAGUGCGGGCCCUCGCGGCCCAACCUCCCACCCUUGUCUCUAUACACCUGUUGCUUUGGCGGGCCCACCGGGGCCACCCCGGUCGCCGGGGGACGUUUGUCCCCGGGCCCGCGCCCGCCGAAGCGCCCUGUGAACCCUGAUGAAGAUGGACUGUCUGAGUACCAUGAAAAUUGUCAAAA
rnacentral:rRNA from 1 species